CAAUCCCCCGCGUGUGUGCUCCUCCCCCAAUCCCGUCACGAUCCCCUCUGCCAAUCGCUCGCGGCUGCCUCAAACCUUCCACCUCGAGCGCUGCCUUGAGCCGCCUCUCCUCCUCUCCCCAAUCCCAGCUCCCCAUUCGCCGCCUCUUCUCGACGCAGAGGUUGGGGACGGUGGCCACGAACCGGAUGCGUUCGUGCGGAGGCGCGUGAGCAGCGGUGGCGGAAGCAUCGGUGGUGGUCGCACGGAUGAAGCAGGGGCGGAUGACGUCCGUGUUGUCCUCGUCACCAUCGCAGCGUGCGGCCGCACCAAGGGCUGAGCAGCUCGGUAGGAGGAGCGGGGCCUCCAGCACCAAUACGCCAUGGACCUGGCGGCUGAUGCGGGAGAGAGAGGAGGCGAGCAGAGAGGCGGAGGUCAGUGGUUACCACUGCGUACAGGAGCAAACAUAUAUACAGGACGCGCAUCAGCGAAUCCAAAUCAGUAUGGUUGUUGUUUGGAUGAUUUGUUGCUGCUGGAGGGAGAUGGGAAGAGAAUGAAGAAAUGGUGAGGGAGGUCGAAGAGGAGCCAACAGAUGAACAUAGAUCUGCAAUAAUCAGGUCCUGAAGCAUUGCCAUGUGGUGUUUGGUGCAUAUAUGCAAAAUCAGGGGGAACGGAUAUGGGCUUUCAAACAAUUAUGAAGAAGUGUGUUCUUAAUCCCCGACCAGUCGAUGAAAUUGGUAGAUGUUUCUGCAAUUUUUGCUUCAGCUAUGUUUGCUUCUUUGGCCCUUGCUUGAUUGGGCUGCUUAACUGGGCAAUCGUCGUCUCCAUCUUUCUUUCUUUCAGGUUUGACUCUUUGGCCCUUGCUUGAUUCAGCUGCUCCUACAAAAUGUUUCUGCAAUAUCUGUUUCAUUGAUGUUUGCCUUAAUGGGAAUGGAUGUACUUGUCGGGAUUAACAAGCUUUGCAGAUGUAUUAGGUUGUGGUUUGGUCUGAUCCUCAAUGUACUGAUUUAGCAAAUAGCUUGACUCGGGCCAGUCACAAACUCACAAUACAGACUGCUGCUCUUUUCCUUGACGGCCAAAUUAGACUUGUCAUUUGCUGCUAUUGUUACAAAUCGUAUAGCUACAUGCAGGUAUGAGAAUCAGGAUGAGAAGACUAUGGGAGAUAAUUUAUCAUGUAGUUAUUGCACGUGUUUCGCUUCAGAUGUGGUUACCAAUCGGAUCAUCUAUUCAGGUUCAUCUGCGUCGUGCUUUCCAUGCCUCACCUCCUCAUCUUGAUAUGCAGUUAAGGCUAUGGUCCUACCAAUAUGAAUUCUAAUGGUGAUAGAUAGCAGGUGUUGGCCAUCAUUGUGGCACUUGCGCUGAUCCGACUAUGAGUCACGUUCAGACCAAGUUAUCUACCUUCUUUUACUUGAUGAAGUUGUAAGCGUGUGUUAACGUGUGUUAUCUUCUUAUCCGGAAUCAGCCCGAAAAACACAAUGACAUGGAAGCAAGGUAAGAUGUCUUUUCCAAUGGUUCUUGUUUAUAUAAUUACGAGUAAUUAGUAAGACGUGAAUCUAAGGGAAAGGGCAAGUACUGUUAGGUACAGCUAAAUAAAAUUUUGCUUUACACAAAGAACGUCAAAAUUCAUGUCCUUCAAGCAAUGCCUUGUUUCUAUAUUUAUGUAUAUAAGAGCUGGUAAUUUAGAUAUGCACAAUUGAGUUUAUCUUUUAGUAUAUAUUGCCUAACCCUGUAUCAUAGGUUGGAUAAUUUGUUCUCUUGAAUAUGGAUAAAUAGUAGGUGUUCCAUCAUGUUGUAACUUUCAGGUGACAGCAACGAAAUAAUUUAGUUUUAAAGGCCAUAAUAAUCUUUCAGUGUAUGUUCUUAUCCAUGAGGAAACAACUGGGUUUGUGGCCACACUUGCAUUAUUCGUGCUUCAGCUAGCUAACUUAGUUUUAUUUUAUUCAUUAAUUAAUGUAUUGUAGGUGCAAUUAUUACUGCUGAUGUUGCCCUCACUUUGUAAACACUAGCUAUGCAUCUUUUAUUUUCAAGGAGAAUGACCGCCGUUGUUGUGUGUAUGCAAGGCGAGGCAUGUUUCAGGGUACUAUUUGGACAACCAUUUCUGAUGUUUUAGUAGGUUAUUACAAAUAUAUUUGUUGGAGUUUGGUUAUGUAAAUUUACUUAAUUAUGAUGCCAACGAAAAUGAACAGACAUACUAUAUAUGAUCUUUUUUAACGGUGUGAUUCAGACACCAAUACUGUUUUCUAUGUAUAUAUGCAUACAAUGUUGUUGAGCUGUCGGUGAUGUUACUAAUUGGACUGAGAUUUGCUCUGGCAUGCUAAGUGCCACAUUCUUCUUCCCGUUUCCUCUAAGAAACACAUUCCUUUUUUCCCUGAAAUUGAACGGUACAUGAUCUAAAUAGUCUGGUCAUAUGGUGUUAUGUGUUCUCAUUGUUUCACUUUUCUUAUGUCCAAAAUUGACAUGGUUAGCUUUGGGCAGGAGGAUCAGGUGAUCACCAAAAUAUUCCUUCAGGUAGAAGACCCUUUUACCAAUUCAAUGUUCCAAACCUAUAUUACCAGGAGCUCUCCUUUAUAUUUUAGUACUCGGUUUCGCACUAUAACAGAUCUUUCACUUUCACGGUGUUGUAUGAUUAGAUGGUAAGCUCUCUAUUUUAGCCAUGCCCGAGGUGUCCUAAUGUUAUAUUGGGCACUGAUGGUGUGCACCAUAUGUUGUACACAGGUGUGUUCACUGGCUUUCUUUUACAUAUGUAUCUUUAUUUAUGUGGCAUCUUUGUGUUUUGAAAUAUUUGACAGAAUGUUUGGUUAAAAAAUUGAAAUCGCAAUACCGGAAAUAAAUUGUAUAAAACAUAGCCUGGAUGCGAUACAAUCCAUAUAUUAUAUUGAUAAAUAGUUAAAUCAGUAUAUAAUGCAUUUUUGACAUCUGAUGUUUACUUUAUCAGUUUUGCGGAAGUGGUGGUAUUUUUCAGUUCUUAUUGAUCAUGCACACCUAAUAGGCCUGAUUCUGCAAGUAAAGGACAAAGUGGCAUUUGGUUUCUUAAGUGAAGAAAGGAACAUAUGCUAUAAUUGUAAAUUCUUACUGUUUUCUUCCUUUUGUUGUUCUUACAAAAUAUAGAGUUUAUAAAAUGUGCUACGUUCUGAGAAUAGCGUGAAUGCAAUGAUGAGUUCUCAUAAUGCUUCCUAUUAGGUUAAAAAUCAACUUUGCUACUAAAUUGAUGAAUUUUUGAUGUUGUUGACCCUUCACACUUGAAAACAACAAGCCCCACCAAUCUUCAUGAUGAACACUGCCAUGUGACUCCUAAUGUUGAAGUAAAUUAUUUUUCUAGCUCUUUACUAAUUUGCCAGCUGUGAAGCAUGUCUUUCAAUCCAUCAUAAUCAGAUCUAGCCAUGUACUAAAUUUACGGUUUCUUGUGAAGCACCAAUCCAUUAUAAUCAGAUCUAGCCCUCUCAUUUACAUUACAUGGCCUCCCAGUUCACUAGCCAAUGGCACAAAGCAUGCUUAUGGUAAGACAUGUUAUCUUGCGUAAUUUAAGAAAUAUGGUACCUUCACUAAUUUAUGUGUAAUUUAUCAUGACUACAGUUUGAAGGAGGCCAUAUCAAUGGCAGUGGCACAGAAGUGGAAACUAUGGUGGGAUGUGGCUGGAUCAUUCUAUUGUGUCGAUCAUGGCUUCUUGAUUCGACACCGUCAAAAGUGAUUUUGAUUGAGAUUACAAUAAAUUCUCUUGUGUCUCUUUUAUUUAGUCUCUGCAUCUAUAUCAAAGUGAUAUAUACGCCUAUUCAGAUUGAACUUUUACAUCUGUUUAGAACCCCGUAUCAUUGUUGUUGUCGAUAUAAGUGCAUAUUCUUUUUUUUGCGUGUUUAUUUCGAGAUGUUAAGGUGUGAUCCCGACUGCUUAGGUUUGAGUGGUAGCAGUUUUUUACGCAAUCGGUGGCAAGGUUUCAGUGGUUGCCUAUGUGGUGCGGGUGCUCCCGUGCCUCUGCCUGCACCUCCCCUAUGAGCUCACCUCUGCUGCUCUGGCCUGGCCAUGUCCUCCCACACCGUGGUGCGGUGGUAGACUAUGGUUGUCCGGCCCCCGCUACGAAUAGCUUGCCGUCUCCUUAGACUAUGAUCUCCGGUUCAGAUUGUAUAUCACUGCGAACUUCAUGGGAUCGUGGGCCAAUGUAGUCAUCAAAAUCUGGAGGUUGGGGCUUCACCAUCCAAAAUGACCAGGGUGAAUCUUGCCGCCGGUGCAGGCAAUUUGGAACAUGUCGCUAACUAUAGCCACAUGCAGAAGCUCCAGCUUCAAACAAAGCUAUCACCGGCACUCAAAUUUGGGCACCAAACUGUAAUGUUUCAGACAGACUCCAUGAUUCUGAAGCAAGCUAUUUCCAGCGAGAAAUAUGGUCUCAAUAAAUUAGGUACUUCGUUUAGAAAGAUAAAUUUGCAAAUGAGAGUUAGUCUAAAUGUUUUGUGGACUUUAUUUGUGCAUGGAUGCUUUAUUGGAAGUGGCCUUAUAGAGACCUGGCUGAGCCAAUUCUCUUAAUUUGUUUCAAACACAGUUGCUGGUGAUAUACCCAACGUGAUGUAGUAAUGGAAUGGACCAGUGCUUCUUUUUUA